GCCUGCGGCCACUCCACCUUGAAUAAGCCUGAUCUCGUCUGAUCUCAGAAGCUAAGCAAAGUUGGGCUUGGUUAGUACUUGGAUGGGAGACCACCUGGGAAUACAAGUGCUGUAGGCAUU
rnacentral:rRNA from 1 species